rnacentral:rRNA from 1 species
UGGUGGAGUGAUUUGUCUGGUUAAUUCCGUUAGCGAACGAGACCUUAACCUGCUAAAUAGUAACACCUAACUUCUGUUAGGUGGGCUACUUCUUAGAGGGACUUUGCGUGUCUAACGCAAGGAAGUUUGAGGCAAUAACA